UACAGAGGGUGCAAGCGUUAUCCGGAAUCAUUGGGUUUAAAGGGUCCGUAGGCGGGACAAUAAGUCUAGUGUGAAAGUCUGCAGCUCAACUGUAGAAUUGCCAUUGAUACUGUUGUUCUUGAGUGUUUAUGAAGUGGUUAGAAUAUGUAGUGUAGCGGUGAAAUGCAUAGAUAUUACAUAGAAUACCGAUUGCGAAGGCAGAUCACUAAUAAAAUACUGACGCUGAUGGACGAAAGCGUAGGUAGCGAACAGG
rnacentral:misc_RNA from 1 species